GUCUCAAGCCGUAUCAGCCUGAAGGCGCCCGAUCUCGUCUGAUCUCGGAAGCUAAGCAGGGUCGGGCCUGGUUAGGAUCUUGGAUGGGAGACCACCUGGGAAUCCCGGGUGCUCGAGGCU
rnacentral:rRNA from 1 species